rnacentral:rRNA from 1 species
UACGGAGGGUGCGAGCGUUGUCCGGAAUCACUGGGCGUAAAGGGCGCGUAGGCGGUCUGUUAAGCGUGUGGUGAAAGCUCGGGGCUCAACCCCGAGUCUGCCAUGCGAACUGGUGGACUUGAGCACUGUAGAGGCAGGUGGAAUUCCGGGUGUAGCGGUGGAAUGCGUAGAGAUCGGGAAGAACACCAGUGGCGAAGGCGGCUACCUGGACGGGUACUGACGCUGAAGCGCGAAAGCUAGGGGAGCAAACAGG